GGGGUCGGGGUCACUCCAACCCAUGUGACCAUACCAAACUGUUGCCUCGGCGGGGUCACGCCCCGGGUGCGUCGCAGCCCCGGAACCAGGCGCCCGCCGGAGGGACCAACCAAACUCUUUCUGUAGUCCCCUCGCGGACGUUAUUUCUUACAGCUCUGAGCAAAAAUUCAAAAUGAAUCAAAACUUUCAACAACGGAUCUCUUGGUUCUGGCAUCGAUGAAGAACGCAGCGAAAUGCGAUAAGUAAUGUGAAUUGCAGAAUUCAGUGAAUCAUCGAAUCUUUGAACGCACAUUGCGCCCGCCAGUAUUCUGGCGGGCAUGCCUGUCCGAGCGUCAUUUCAACCCUCGAACCCCUCCGGGGGGUCGGCGUUGGGGAUCGGGAACCCCUAAGACGGGAUCCCGGCCCCGAAAUACAGUGGCGGUCUCGCCGCAGCCUCUCCUGCGCAGUAGUUUGCACAACUCGCACCGGGAGCGCGGCGCGUCCACGUCCGUAAAACACCCAACUUCUGAAAUGUUGACCUCGGAUCAGGUAGGAAUACCCGCUGAACUUAAGCAUAUCAAAGGCCGGAGGAAA
rnacentral:rRNA from 1 species